AAAGAAAGAAGUAUUUUAUACCUUAGUUGGAUUUAGUUACUACCAUUGAUAUCUUCUUUCACCGACUUGACAGAUGCUGAGCUAAGACCUUUAAUGUUUGGGUUUGGGUGGCAGGGGAUUCUUGCAUUGUCGGACAUCAGACAGUAUUUGGUGUUGUAGGAGUGUCAGAAGAGUAUUGCAUACUCAGCUACUCCAAUCGUUUGAGGAUGGUGGAAUUGAUUGCUGAAUCAAUGGUGCCAUGUCAUGCCCCCUAUAUUACAUUUGCCCAAAUCAAAGUGCAUAUAUUUCCACGAGGUUUUGUUGUAAUA